UUAUUGAAUAUAAAGAAAAGACGAACAGCUCAGUAACUCUUAUUUUAUUUGAUGUAUUAGGAUUAUAACUAUGUUAAAUUAUAGAUAACAAUAAUACAAUAAGAAUAAGAUCUAUCAGUUAGUUGUUAAGGUAAUGGCUUAACAAGACUAUGACGGAUAACGGUAUUACUUUGUAAUAUUCCGGAGAAGGAGCCUGAGAGAUUGCUACUAAGUCUAAGGAUUGCAGCAGGGGCGAAACUUGACCUAUGAUAUGAUAUUGAGGCAGUUAUGAGUAGUAUUUUUAAUUAUUGUAGUAUUGUAAGUAUAUACUACAAGAUAAAUCGGAGGGCAAAUCGAGUGCCAGCAGCCGCGGUAAUACUUGUUCCGAUAGUGUGUAUGAUGAUUGAUGCAGUUAAAAAGUCUGUAGUUUAUGAUUAAUAAGCAUUGUGAGGUAUAUUGUAUGGUUAGGAGAGAGAUGAAAUGUGAUAACCCUAACUGGAUGAACAGAAGCGAAAGCUAUAUACUUAAAUGUAUUAUUAGAACAAGGACGUAAGCUAGAGGAUCGAAGAUGAUUAGAUACCAUUGUAGUUCUAGCAGUAAACUAUGUUAAAUCAUAGAUACAUUUUAAUAUGUAUUUAUGUAAAGAAAUUAAGAUUAUAUUGACUCUGGGGAUAGUAUGAUCGCAAGAUUGAAAAUUAAAGAAAUUGACGGAAGAAUACCACAAGGAGUGGAUUGUGCGGC
rnacentral:rRNA from 1 species